rnacentral:rRNA from 1 species
GAUGAACGCUAGCUACAGGCUUAACACAUGCAAGUCGAGGGGCAGCAUGAUUGAAGCUUGCUUCAAUUGAUGGCGACCGGCGCACGGGUGAGUAACACGUAUCCAACCUUCCGUACACUCAGGGAUAGCCUUUCGAAAGAAAGAUUAAUACCUGAUGGUAUCUUAAGCACACAUGUAAUUAAGAUUAAAGAUUUAUCGGUGUACGAUGGGGAUGCGUUCCAUUAGGUAGUAGGCGGGGUAACGGCCCACCUAGCCUACGAUGGAUAGGGGUUCUGAGAGGAAGGUCCCCCACAUUGGAACUGAGACACGGUCCAAACUCCUACGGGAGGCAGCAGUGAGGAAUAUUGGUCAAUGGACGAGAGUCUGAACCAGCCAAGUAGCGUGAAGGAUGAAGGUCCUACGGAUUGUAAACUUCUUUUAUAAGGGAAUAAAACCUCCCACGUGUGGGAGCUUGUAUGUACCUUAUGAAUAAGCAUCGGCUAACUCCGUG